rnacentral:rRNA from 1 species
UGGGGAAUUUUGCACAAUGGGGGAAACCCUGAUGCAGCGACGCCGCGUGAUUUAGAAGGCCUUCGGGUUGUAAAAAUCUUUUUUACGGGAUGAAAAUGACAGUACCGUAAGAAUAAGGUCCGGCUAAAUACGUGCCAGCAGCCGCGGUAAUACGUAUGGACCGAGCGUUGUCCGGAAUCAUUGGGCGUAAAGGGUACGUAGGCGGCCUAGUAAGUUAGAAGUGAAAUAAUAUAGCUCAACUAUAUAAAGCUUUUAAAACUGCUAGGCUUGAGAGAUGGAAGGGAAGGUGGAAUUCCUAGUGUAGCGGUGGAAUGCGCAGAUAUUAGGAAGAAUACCGGUGGCGAAGGCGACUUUCUGGUCAUCAUCUGACGCUGAGGUACGAAAGCGUGGGUAGCAAACAGG